GACGAACGCUGGCGGCGUGCCUAAUACAUGCAAGUCGAACGCAGUGGGGACGGGUGAGUAACACGUGGGUAACCUCCCAUCAGAGGGGAUAACACUUGGAAACAGGUGCUAAACCGAUACUUGUUGAUGUCACCGCGGUGCAUUAGAUAGUGGGUGGGGUAACGGCUCACCACGGCCCCGAUGCAUAGCCGAGCUGAGAGGGGGAUCUGCCACACUGGGACUGAGACACGGCCCAGACUCAUACGGGAGGCAGAAGUAGGGAAGCUUCGGCAAUGGACGAAAGUCUGACCGAGCAACGCCGCGUGAGUGAAGAAGGUUUUCGGAUCGUAAAACGCUGUUGUUAGAGAAGCGGUAUCUAACCAGAAAGCCACGGCUAACUACGUGCCAGCAGCCGCGGUAAUAC
rnacentral:rRNA from 1 species